rnacentral:lncRNA from 1 species
CACUUUUGGACUUUUAAUUUUGAAUAAUAAAAAAACUGCACCAAAUUUUAAAAAGAGGGUACAUUUUGUCUGUUUGUCAAAUCUGAAGUACCUGUUUUGGUACAUCCAAAGUUCCGGGAACCAGUUCUUUCUUAUAUGCAAUUUAAGGUAUGUUGAUUUUUUCAGUACAAGACACCAUAAAGUGUUGCUUUGAAAUGCAUUGAUUGCCCCUUUAUUUGAACUUAAAACAAAAGAGGUGUCCCUGCUUGAAACGGAGGAAUUUAACAUAGAAAGCAAUGGGAC